rnacentral:lncRNA from 1 species
UAAAGCCCUUCCAUUGUUGCAUGCUUUUUGAAGGGAGAAAUGGGACACGUGUAAACUUGGGCCAGGACCAUGGGGUAGAUGGAAGAUGGGCGAAGAUAGAGUAUUGGAGUGGGAAGUGGCCAAGCAGGAAUGUUUCAAUCAUGGAAGAUUUCCUGAGAAAAGGGAUUCCACAUCAGGGUUCAGAUGGUAGGGGAAUGAGGAUAGGAAGUAAAGAAGAGGGAGGGAGCCAUGCAUUGACAAGGAAGGAGAAGAAAAAACAAUUUAUGCAAAGGCUGGGUCAGAGUAAUGGACAUGAGUUCAAUUUGCCUUGGGUUUGCCUUACCAUUUAUUGAAGGCAUACUAUGUACUAGGUACAUACAUGAUCACAUUUGAUGUUCACAACAGCCCUGACAAGUGGGUUUCCCAGACUAAGUGAGAAAUAAACUUCUGUUUUCUAUAUGCUACUGUGUUUGGGGGCCUUUGUGUUAUAGAAGUUUUGCUGUCAUCCUUUCCAAUUCACCUUCUCACACCAGAUAUUUCAAAUUAAAAAGAUUAUAUCAGGCCAGGUGCGAUGGCUCAUGCCUGUAAUCCCAGCACUGUAUUUUCCUCCCUCUGUUGUUACUGAGUUGGGGCUGCUCCCUCCUUUAUCAAUUCUCCCUUUUUAUCAUGAUUGCUAUGUUGGAAACUUGCUGACUCUUCAGACUAGGGGAUUCAGAUCCUUCCACAGUGGAAGGAAGGUCUGUGAAGACUCCAGGGUCGAGGGAAAGUUAUGUUCUUGGAGGUAUGACUGAGCCCAGAAUCCAGGCCUCCAGUGUCCAUCUCCUUGCCUGGCCCAUUUCAGUCUUCAGACAUGCUUUGAGGUCAAUCCAGUCACUCACCCAGCAACAGACACUGCCUCUGCCCUCAUGGACCUUGCAGUUCUAGUGGUGAGAGUAAGAUGAAUACAAGUGAACAAAAUGAUGGCAAGUUGUUCAAGCUUGUUCAAACUUCUAAACACUGUUCAAUGAAUGAAUGAACCAACAAGAACUUACUAUG